GGAGGUAUGGCUGAGUGGUUGAAAGCAUUGGUUUGCUAAAUCAAAAUACAAAAAUAUUGUAUCAUGGGUUCAAAUCCCAUUUCCUCCG
rnacentral:tRNA from 1 species